UAUAAAAGGAUUCUUUAAUUCUCUCAAAUGAUAGGCCACCUUCUAUAAAGGUUCAUUUGAAAUAAUGAAGACUGUCAGACUCAUAUCUUUUCUUUUCUUCAGCUACAUUAAAUGUCAAACUCUUCAGAGAACUUUACUAGAUACAGCCAUGCAACACACUAGUAGCCAGAAUUAUCUGGAGGAGAAUUUAAGAAGCAUCAUUAGCACUAUGGUUGCUCAGUUUCUUCAGAAAUUGACUUAUGAAGAAGUACAAACCACAGUUAAUGAGUUGUUAGAUUUUGCAGAGAAGUGCAAGAGCCUCAACCUACAUGAGUCACCUUCAGAAUGCUCUUACCAGUUGAUGACUACCUUCCUAGAGCAUAUUUGUAAUAACCAAGGAAUGGUUGACAAACAUGUGUUUUCUGACUGUUGCAAUAUAAAUAACACUGCAAGACACAAGUGCUUCCUAUUAUACAAAAAAGAUGAUGCAGGUCACAGCGAUAUAUUUCAAAUUCCAAAUCCUGAGCAGAUCUGUGAGACAGACAAAGAGAAUCAAGCAUCAGUGAAAGAGAGGUACAUUUAUGAAACUUCGAGAAAGCAUCCAUUCUUGUAUGGACCCACUAUUUUGACCAUGUCUGCUUGCUAUGAAACAGCUAUUCAGUCAUGUUGCCAGCAAGAAAAUAACACUGAAUGCCUCCAGAUAAAGCUAGAACCCAUCAGAAAAUACAUUAGAGAAAUAUCUUUGAGGCAUCAUCAUUUAUGUGAAAUUGGAAUUAAAUUCAACCACAAAGUAGCAAAAUCAGUGGAAUUGGUUCUGUUGACUAAAAAACAACUUAAAGCUAACUUUUCUGAAAUUGCCCAAUUGGCUGUUGAUACCAAAAACCUGCAUCAGACUUGUUGUGAAGGAAAUGCAGUAGCAUGUGUGUUUGGCCGGAGUCAGCUUAUGAACGAUAUCUGCUCUAAACAGACUAUCCUAUCCAGCAAGAUCAUUCCAUGCUGUGCACUGCCAGUGCCAUUCCGAGGGGAAUGCAUUAUUAAUUCAGAAAAUGAUGAUAAACCUGACCUUUCAUCCCUGCCACUGAGCAGGUUUACAGAAGACCGAUUUGUAUGCAAACAAUUCACUGACAAGCAAGAUGAUUUCCUCCAAGAGUUCCUUUAUGAAUAUUCAAGAAGACAUCCAGAGCUGGCACUUCCAGUAAUUUUAAGAGUGGUUACAGUAUAUCAAAAUUUAUUGGGAAAAUGCUGUAAAUUAGAAGACCCUCUGGAAUGCUAUAGCCAUGGGAGAGAGAUGUUUCAAAGAGUGGUUCUUGAAAGCCAUGAGCGUGUUAAAAAUCACUGUGAUUUGCAUGAAAAAUUAGGAGAUAAUAACUUCCAUGACAGGCUCAUGGUCCUUUAUACUAAGAAAGCCCCACAGCUAUCUGCUCAAGAGUUGAUUAUGUUCACGAAGAGCAUGGCAGCUGCUGCCACAAGAUGUUGCCCUCUGAGUGAUGACCAACAGUUUGUCUGCAUGGAAGAUGCGGCUAAGCUAAUCCUUGGAGCUUUAUGCAGACGACAUGAGGCAGAGCCUAUCAAUGUUAACGUGGGUCACUGCUGUGAUGACUCCUAUGCCUUCAGGAAACCAUGCUUUGAGGAUCUGCAAGUCAAUGGAACUUACAUUUCCCCACCUUUACCCUGUGACCAAAUUAUCAGCCUUAAAGAGGUCUUGUGCAAAGCUCAGGAGGAGGAAUUCCAAACUGAAAAGCAAAAGCUUCUCAGCAACCUUGUGAAGCAGAAACCAUAUGCAACAGAGAUGCAGUUCCAAUCAUUUAUUGUGGAUUUCACUCGCCUGGUGAGGAAGUGCUGCCAAGCAGAAAAAAGUGAAAUGUGUUUCCAAGAAGAGGUACCCCUGUUCCCUUGUCUAUUUUCUUUGCAUUGUUAGGGCUUAUUAAAGUUAAAAAAAAAAUUCUCCAUUCCAAUCAUGAGUGGAUUAGGAGAAAAUCACAGUCUAGAUGGAUGGUGUAAUUGAUUAUAUUUGGCUUUAGGAUAUGUUAAUAGUUACGUUUAUUUGAGGAAACUAGGAGUGUUAGACAUAAAUAGAGAUGAAUACAAAAGUCAUGGCACCAGAUGGACUAGGCGUGUUUGUAAUUGGGGGUGGGGAAAAGAAGGAUAGAUUGAAGACUUUGGUAAUUGUAGAGAAAUGGUGUCCUUGGUAAUACAGAAAAAUUUAUAAGAAAUAACAGCUUAAACGCCCGUCUGAUCAAACUGUAGUUUUGUACAAGAAAUUUCUGAGGGCACAAUCAGUAAGAGUCACCAAAUAUAAUUUGGGGCUUAACUGGGGAACCGAAGGAUUUCAUUUUCUCAGUAGCCAGAUCAUUAGAAUAGAGGUUGGAGAACAGAAAGAAGAAAGAGCAACGGGCAGAAAAGAGUGUCUUUCUGUGCAUACACACCAAACUGACUACCAGAAGAUUGUUUUCUGUAAUCUAAUGGCAUAUAGUUAACAAAGUAAGUUAUUUUUCAUGAGACAAUAAAGUUGUGUGACUUAAAUUUCAAAGAAUAUCAUGGUGGCAUAGAAUAUUCAUGUACAUUCAUGCAGGGGACUUGGGAUGGACUGCUCUCCCAGGGACAUGACUUGAGGAGCAGAAACUUGGAUACAGUGGAUAAUAGUAUCUGAGUAGAGGAAUGCAAGUGUGUAGUUAAAAAAAAAAAAUAAAGCAGCCUUUAUAAUCAAAACAAGCUGGGGCUGGUUAGAACAGUGGAUAAAUUUAGCAAUGACCCAGGAAAAUGAUUUCACAGGUAGCAAUUUUCAUAAAUGCCUUAAUUACUUUUGCUGACUCUUUUCUACCUAUUCAGCAAAACUGUAUAUGUAUGUUAUAUUAAAAGUCAUAUAUCUGUAGUCUAGUCAAGGGUAGGCAAACCACAACCCUCAAGCUAAAUUGAUUCCACUUCCUAUUAUUGUCAAUAAGGUUGUAUUGGAACAUAGCAUGCCCUUUUACUUGGAAAAUUAUUUACAACAGUACCAUGAAUGAAUUGACCAAUUGGUUGAUGACUUAUCCUGUAUCCCCUAAAAGGUGUCAAGAUUAAAUGAGAUAUCUUUUCUUACCUACUAUCAACUGUAGAAAAUCAUGCCACAUUUAUUUAGUUUUGUAUGUUUGGAUUAUGAUUUCCUAGUAUAUCCUUAUUUUUUGAAUUUCUAAUUGUCUUUCUUUUUCCAUGUUCGCAAAUAAAGUGCCUACUUUAAUCACACCACUAAAAUAUUUCAGCUUCUUCAUCAUACAGUUUUUGUAAUAGAGUAUUCUAUCUUAAAGCUAUGUUUCAAAAAGCCCUCUGACUUAAUCUUUCACUUUGAAUCUAUUAAUUUCUAGGACCGAUUCAUGGUUGUCCACCUGGGGUUCUUUUUCAGUAUAAUCCUAGGAGUUGAAACUGAUUGAAAAGUGCCAGUCUCUCUUGGGAAGUAAAUUAUUCCAGAAAACGUCAACAUAGGAUCUUUGC